rnacentral:rRNA from 1 species
GACGAACGCUGGCGGCGUGCUUAACACAUGCAAGUCGAACGGAAAGGCCCUGCUUUUGUGGGGUGCUCGAGUGGCGAACGGGUGAGUAACACGUGAGUAACCUGCCCUUGACUUUGUGAUAACUUCAGGAAACUGGGGCUAAUACCGUAUAGGAGCUCCUGCUGCGUGGUGGGCGUUGGAAAGUUUCGGCGGUUGUGUAUGGACUCGCGGCUUAUCAGCUUGUUGGUGGGGUAGUGGCUUACCAAGGCUUUGACGGGUAGCCGGCCUGAGAGGGUGACCGGCCACAUUGGGACUGAGAUACGGACCAGACUCCUACGGGAGGCAGCAGUGGGGAAUAUGGCACAAUGGGCGGAAGCCUGAUGCAGAAACGCCGCGUGCGGGAUGACGGCCUUCGGGUGGUAAACAGCUUUCGCCUGUGACGAAGCGUGAGUGACGGUACUGGGUAAAGAAGCACCGGCUAACUACGU